rnacentral:lncRNA from 1 species
GUUUCUUUUGGUUUGUUUUCAGGGAGAGGAAACCGAGGAAAAACACAGCACCCCCAGCGAGAAGAGGUGCCCAGGCUCUGCCCUGACCCACUGCUGUUCAGCAGGAGGAAGCAAAGUGGUGUGACUGCUGUGGUUUCAGUUCUCACCCCACCUCGCUGCCCAGGAGCCAGGACCGUGGCUUAGGAGAGGAAAAGGUCCUUUGAGCCAACCUGCUCUGGGGGGCUCCCCCAGCCCUACGGAGGGGCUGGAAAGAUGAGGGCCUGGAAAAGCAGGGCACCCCUGCAAACCCCACUCCGGUGUAUUGAUAUUCAGUGCAGAGUGAGGGGUGUAAAUUCAGAGCUAUCUCCUCACCGCUCACCGUUUAUGCCGUUCAUUUCACAUAGAUGUCACUACUGCCUUAUAAGCACUCCUCCGAGCCAGCCGCUUAAAUGGACCCAGUGCAUUAUAGUAAUGGAGUAACUGUAUAAAAACAAUGAAAUCCAAUCUCUUUAAACUGAUUUGAUGUCUGCCUGAACCACAACAUUUCCUGCUAAUGGCUUCCUUCAUUUUGUAACCGUGAUCUCCACCUGAUCAGAUUACAGCUGUUUUUAAUUACAAAGCUAAUAGAGUUUGUAGGCAGUGUCGGGAGGAUGGCGCAUGCCCCAGGCAGAGAGGAGCUGGUGGGGGCUUGGGGUGGCUGUGCUGACAUUCAGCCUAUGGAGCAGACUGUCAUAACACCAGGAUGGGUACAGCUGGGAGGGAUGGGGACAGAAUAGGGAUGUUGGUGCCAUCUGACUGCUACAGCUGAUGGGGCAGGAAAAAGCACUGAGGGUGACUGACAGUGGAAAAAGUCCUCAAGAUUGAUGUCUUUCUUAUGGGAUAGCACAGCCAGCUGCAGGGUUGGAUUCCUCCAUCUCAGCCUGGAUGGUUGAGAUGGGGAGCAUCUGUGCGGCUCAUCCUGGCCCCCCAAAGGCCUCGUUUUGUCUGGCAGUUGGUUUGUUUGCUGACUGCUCCAUUGCUGUGGGUUAGGAGCACAGAGCAGAGUAGCCGUGGGGAGAGAAGCAGUCUGAAAUCUGUUCCCAGAUGGUGAUGGCCGGGGAUGUUUGAUGCCCAGAAAACACUGUGGUGUGUUAGAGAUGCUUCUGAGUAGCCCAUGCUGGUGUUUAGGAUUCGGCUGAUGUUGGGCUCAGCUGAAAAAUGUCAGCAGUGAAGGAGAGCAGCAUCUCCAGCUCGCAGCCAAGUCCUGCUGUGAGAAUCUCCCAUUUGGGGUGCUGGAGUUGCUCACGUGCCCACCAAGGCACAGUGGUGAGCGAUCCACUCCCAGCAGCUUGGGCAAGGGGAGGACAAGGCAGGAGGAACCCCAGAGCACCACGGGGAAGUUCAUGCUGCUGAGACCUGCUUUGGAGCUGCUCCCACCGCCUGCUUCAUCGCACUGCUGAGGACGUUCAUCCUCCUCUGCCUUGGUGCAGGAGCUGCAUGUGCCAGUGACACCAACAUGAGCUGCCAAAACACCAAACACCAACAGCCAGUCCUGCCCGGGUGAGCGGAGCACGAGGACACACCAUCUCCUCCCCAUAACUUGUGCACAGGCACUCUGAGGUUAGCGAGAGCGUUCUCAGAGCAAACCCCAUCCUACACGAGCCGUUGCUGGUGAGACCCACCUGCGUGCGCUGCGCUGUGGAGCAGGAUCAGCACUGCCAUCCAGGCUCUGCCUGUGCCCGAUGCACAAAACCGUGUGUUUGAGGAAGUACUUCUGGAGUUUGAAAAG